UGCCGUAUAGCACAACGGAUAGUGCACUUGGCUACGAACCAAGGUUAGUGGGGGUUCGAAUCCCUCUACGGCAAC
rnacentral:tRNA from 1 species